CCGAGAUUAGCUCAGUCUGUUUAGAGCACUAAGUUUGGGACUUAGGGGCCACUGGUUAGAAUCCAGUAUCUCGGACAA
rnacentral:tRNA from 1 species